GAGAUCACAUGUACAGGGGUGCACAUAAGUGGUGCGCAGGUGCGCAUGCGUAGGAAGCGCAUUUGAGUACCAACUUUGGGACCAGUUCGCAGGGACACAUUUACUUACUGGAGUAGGAUAUUCCUCCAUCUGUGCUGGGGAUACUGCAUUACAUCAUCAUCCCCUUUCAUUAAUUUAGAUGCCCUCUCUUCACUGCUCUGCUGGAACAGUCUCUGCAUCUAUUGUUGUACAGUACUGGGGAAAAAAGGGACAAACAUUGCACCAAGAGGUCAUGGUUUGAUUAGACAGCAUGUUCGAGUGAGCCCUUGCUGAAGACAGAAAGUCAUAAGUUUGGAAUGACAUGUGGAUAUUCAACAAAGAGUUGACAAGAAUGCUACAAAUGUAAUGAUAGCAAAAACAGAGCAGUACGAUGGAAUGUAAACAUUUUAAAAGAAGAUCACAUGGGAGAAGAGAAUAUUGAAUGUUUUAUGUCAGAAGUCUCUUCCCCCAGGUUUGUGCUGAGUUUCACUCUAUCAAAGAAAGCGACACACACCAGCAAGAUUUCAGAGAUGAUGUGUGACAUUGAAUGUUUAUGAUCUUCCGGAAGAGUUGGCCGCGCCAGACAUCACUGACAUCAAUUCACACAAACAUCUCUCCUGUUGAUUUUGUCAUCAUGGACAACGAAACCACUAAGUCCUGCAAGUCCUGUUUGACAUGUGCAGAAAUACACAGUCACAAGGUUUUAAAAAAAGUUUGAAUAAAAAAUCUUUAAUUGUAUA